rnacentral:rRNA from 1 species
AUUGUUCGAGAACACCGGCAAAGCACGUGCCAGCAGCCGCGGUAAAACGUGCGGUGUCAGUAUAAAGCGUCUUGACUAGGCAGGCAGCGUGUCUGAGCGUAGUGGUGAACACUUUAAGUGUGGAGUAAUACCUGGAGGAUCGGUCAAAUGAGAAUAUGCCAGGUGGAAAGCCAAGGGCGUAGGCAUCCACACAGGGGUCACUGAAGCUUCAACACGAAGGCUUGGGUAGCGAACCGGAUUAGAGACCCGCAGUAGUCCUUGCAGUCAACAAAUUAUUGCCAUAACAAUAACGCCUGGUGAUACGGCGGCAACGCUAUAAAUCAAAGCAAUUGGCAGCGAUAGAGAUGCGCGGUGGAAUAUGCUGUUUAAAUCGAAGAUACACGCAGAAUCUUACCACUUUUUAAUA